rnacentral:rRNA from 1 species
AGCAAACGCUGGCGGCGUGCCUAAUACAUGCAAGUCGAACGAAGAAAGUCCUUCGGGGCGAGUAAGAGUGGCGCACGGGUGAGUAACACGUAGAUAACCUGCCAUAAAGUGGGGAAUAACUGGCCGAAAGGUCAGCUAAUACCGCAUAAAACCACAGAAGCUGCGGCUUCAAGGGUCAAAGGCUUCGGCCGUUUUUUGAUGGGUCUGCGUAAGAUUAGCUUGUUGGUGGGGUAAUGGCCUACCAAGGCUACGAUCUUUAGCUGGUCUGAGAGGAUGAUCAGCCACACUGGAACUGAGACACGGUCCAGACUCCUACGGGAGGCAGCAGUAGGGAAUAUUGCACAAUGGGGGAAACCCUGAUGCAGCGACGCCGCGUGAGUGAUGAAGGCCUUAGGGUCGUAAAGCUCUGUCGUAUGGGAAUAAGUUCUGAAGGUACCAUACAAGAAAGGACCGGCUAACUUCG